rnacentral:hammerhead_ribozyme from 1 species
GCACUGCUGAGGAGUCCCAUACUAGGACGAAACGUGCGGCCAGUGC